rnacentral:lncRNA from 1 species
AUGAAGCACUCUGCAAGUCACCGCACGCGAGUCAGAAACGAAUCUCACAGCGAGGAAAAUGCUGGAACGUUAACAGGUUUUAAUCCUAGGCGCUGUGGGGCCCCCAUCUGUCUCUCCCACCACUGCUUUAUCCCCUGCAGCCCAGGUUCUAAGCCUCGCCCAGUGACAGCAUCCUCAUCACCCAUCCUGCCACUUCAUGUGCGCAGGGCCACUGCUGUGCGCACAGCACGGAGGGCCAGAGCCUCCAUGUGUGACUUGCUGGGAGAGGCGCUGUUCCUCCCAGUGACCCUGGGGUUGGAGGGCCGACGGUGAGGUGAGCACCGUAGCAGAGACUUCUUACAAGUUUGCUCAACUCUGGGUAAGCCCAGUGGAGAACACAUGCGCUUUGUCUGGCUUCUUUGUCUGGUUUAGAGACAAUAUUUUUAAAGUUAGGCCUGUGGAGGGGAAUAGGAGUGUUUUAGGAAAUACAGUAAAACUUUUCAAAGCAAUUAAACCUAGGGCUUCUUUGUUAGAUACUUUUGAUAAAAUGUUUAUUGAAUGUCCCAUAAAUGGUGGUCUGAUAAUAAAAGAUCGUUUUUAUGUUUGUGGAACUGAAGACUAAGUUGAUUUUUUUUCUCUUGCUAUUCAUAUAUUUUAAUGAAGAGUUAAAUGCUAAUUAUUGAAUCUCCCUUUUCAUGAAGAUCUCUGUUACUCAUGUAGAUAACUGGCAAGUUCAAUAUUAAUGAAGCUUAGUUUCCCAUAGAUAAGGAAAUCUGGCAAUUAUAACUCUAUUUGCUAAAAUUUCAAAGGAGCCGGUUUUCCCUUGGGAAAGCCAUUUAUUUAUUCAUUCUAAUUUGGCAUUUAAAAUGCUGUUGUUUAUUGAAUCUUCCUCAGAGUCCUUGUGGCUUAGAAAAUCAUACUGCUAUAAAUGGAGUCUUUCCCUUUUGUUUGGUAUUUUUAGGUAGUAAAAUCUUUGCCUAUA